rnacentral:lncRNA from 10 species
AGAUCAGCAAUACCAUUAUCAGAUUUCUCAUGAGACAUUUUGAAGGCCAGAAGGCAUUGGACCUUGAAAAUCUCCCAAGUGCUGAAAGAAAAAGCAAAAACAAAACAAAAAAACCCACAAAAACAAAACAAAACAAAAUAGCCACAAAAAAUGCUGUCAACCAAGAAUCCUAUAGAAAAUCUGUCCUUCAAAUGUAAGAAAUUAAAACAUUUUUAGAUGAACAAAGCUUUGGGAAUUUAUUACCACUAGACCUACUCUACAGAAAAGUUUCAAGGGACUUCUACAAAAUGAAAUAACACUAGACAGUAAUUUGAAGCCAUAUAAAGAAAUAAAGAUGUCAACAAAGAAACCAGCAAAGAGUACAUAGAACAAACAUUUUUUUUAGAAGGAUUAAAUGGGACAAUUAAACAAUUUGAUCAGCAUAAUGUCCAGCUCAAGGAUCUUGGAGGUGGUGAGGCAGCCCAAGUGGAAAGGCAGCAGAAGGGGUAUCCUUGUUUUACCAAUUACUCAUAUGUAGGAGAUGGUGCAUUAAAUGAAAUAUUCUCUGCUCUCUCCUAACAUCUACCCCCUCACACCAAGAGGAAGGCAUGUCGCCUGAACCUUUGCAGUAUUCAAUUAAAGUUCUAUUCACACGCAGGAAGGAGUGAAACGAUUGAUUAGCGAGA